rnacentral:rRNA from 1 species
AUGACAGGCAGAUUUUGCGGAGACCCCAUGGUGAGCUUCCCCUUCGCUCCUGAUCUCUUUUUCUACACACACAUCUAUGCAUUUGUGAUGUCUCUCUCUGCACACACAUAUCUACAAGAUUUGUGUAGCCUAAAUGCCUCUGUACCAUGUAAGCAGGCCCAACCUAAUGCACACCAUCUGUCUGAUGAAUGGCUAAAUGGUUUUUGUUGUUGUUGCCAUAUAGACCAUUUACUGGUGUGCAGGAUCCCUUCUAAUUGGUGCUCUAUGGGUGCUUUUGUUUUGUUGCAGAAUAAUAAUUCAAGUGGACGGCCGAUGUGCCUUGUUGUUUAG